GUGGUAUCAAGGAUACAAUCCUGUAUUUAUAGAUGCUCCAAGUGCAGCCAGCCUAUUUCCACUUUGCUCUGCUCUACACACAGCUAUGCAUGGCAUUGUGGGUUCCCACUGCUUCAGAGGAAAGAGACCACCAGACUACCUAACAAGGAAGGGGCUCCACGCAGGACUGUGAAAACUGUCAGGUCAGACGCCAUAGACACUGCAGCUGCCCAGCCUGCCCCCGCUGCAUGCUGCAAAAUCACUGCAACGUGAGGAGCAGCACGGUCCAUCUCCUCUGUAGUAAACAACACAAUGAACACAGAGAGAGAGACAGAGAAUGGGCUCACCGCAGAGACAUCCACACAUUCCUGUACCCUCCAAGUAAUAAAAGGAGAAUGAACGAAGAGCAACAGUAAAAUCAGUGCUGUAACAGACUGGAAAACAUAGAUGCUGUAUAAAAGCCCAUUGACCCA